CACGGGGGGAGCAAGCGUUGUUCGGAAUCACUGGGCGUAAAGGGCGCGUAGGCGGACAGUUAAGUCAGAGGUGAAAGCCCAGGGCUCAACCCUGGAAUAGCCUUUGAUACUGGCUGUCUUGAGUGCGGGAGAGGUGUGUGGAACUCCGAGUGUAGAGGUGAAAUUCGUAGAUAUUCGGAAGAACACCAGUGGCGAAGGCGACCCACUGGCCCGUAACUGACGCUGAGGCGCGAAAGCGUGGGGAGCAAACAGG
rnacentral:rRNA from 1 species